GGAACAUCGACUACCUGACGAACAUUCUGUACCACACACGCGGCGAAAGAGCACAAGAGGUUAACAAGCGAAGACCCUGCAAUUCUUCACAGCGAGAGAAAACUCGAGUCCUCUGCGAAGGCUGGGAGGUGCAACAGGCUCCGCCGGGCCUCCCGCUGGUACUGGCGACGCUGGCUUCAUGAUGGCCGCGCGGCAUGCCAUCAGGCGUCGCGGGUCGCUCGACUCCCGCGGCGGUCGAGGAACCCUGGGUGUGCACGCCGUGUUCGGGGCUGUUGCGCGAGUGCAAGCCCGACGAAGGCGGGGGCAGCUCGGGCACAAUGAACUGCACCUGCGGGGAUAGACAACAGCACGAACGCCAGACCUGACGGAAAUUCUCGCCGAGACCACGAAUCGAGCUGAUCAGAAGAAUAACGCAUGCACUGCACCAAUAAAGCGGGUAAGUAAAGGUCCAAGAAAGGGGAUGAAAUGAAAGCAGCUUGCUUUCUACUGCUCUGCUUCGGUCAGAA